rnacentral:rRNA from 1 species
UACGAAGGGUGCAAACGUUGUUCGGAAUUACUGGGCGUAAAGCGCACGUAGGCGGCUAUUCAAGUCGGGGGUGAAAGCCCGGGGCUCAACCCCGGAACUGCCCUCGAAACUAGAUAGCUAGAAUCUUGGAGAGGCGAGUGGAAUUCCGAGUGUAGAGGUGAAAUUCGUAGAUAUUCGGAAGAACACCAGUGGCGAAGGCGACUCGCUGGACAAGUAUUGACGCUGAGGUGCGAAAGCGUGGGGAGCAAACAGG